UACGGAGGGGGCUAGCGUUGUUCGGAAUUACUGGGCGUAAAGCGCGCGUAGGCGGACCUGCAAGUCGGGGGUGAAAGCCCGAGGCUCAACCUCGGAACUGCCUUCGAUACUGCGGGUCUCGAGUCCGGGAGAGGUGAGUGGAAUUCCUAGUGUAGGGGUGAAAUUCGUAGAUAUUAGGAAGAACACCAGUGGCGAAGGCGGCUCACUGGCCCGGUACUGACGCUGAGGCGCGAAAGCGUGGGGAGCAAACAGGAUAGAUACC
rnacentral:rRNA from 1 species